CAUUAAGUGGCUGAAAGAAAGCAAUGGUCUCUUAAACCAGGUUAUAGUAAUAAUCGUAUACUCUUAAUGA
rnacentral:tRNA from 1 species